AAAAAGGGAAUAACAUCAGAAGUUUCACAGAGCUUUAAACAUAUGCAACUAUCAAACAACAAGACAAAGCAGAGUAAAAUAUAUUCAUGUGGAAAAUUUAAUGGAAAGAGGAGGGAUUCACUGAAUACCUCAAGGGCAGUAGGAUGAUUUGAUGACACAGUCUCACUAGCGAUGGAUGGAGAUGAUUGAUCAAGCAAGAACUCAAAGGAAGAAGCAAUUAUUAUGAUACUUGUAAGUUAAGUUAAAUAAACAGAUUCAAAGAAGUAAAGAAAAAGGGUGGACAAGUAAGUGAAGGAAUGGUAUGGUUGGCAACAACUUAAAAAGGGUCUCAAAACAAGCUGGAGAAAGUAGAACCACACUCCCAAAAAUCUACCUUACAGCAACCCCAUCUCACCUUUUCAUACAUACAGAAAAUAAGAAAACAGGGUGGACUCACGUCCACUUGACGGAUGAUCUGUCAGCAUUUGGUGGAAUUACUAACUAAUCCACCAAGAUUCAAUUUUUAAAUACUAUAUGGAAAGAGAUUUUAACACUUGAAAAGGCAAUUACGCCCAUUAAAUCUGAAUAAGAUUAUGAGAACAUGAAAAUGAAGUUAGUGUUGUCAAGUUAGGGACUGUCAAUGCCACUGAGACAAAAACGAUUGAUGGGGGACCAUUCCAGAGGUUUAUAACGGCGUAAUAUCAUUUUUGCAAACUGUUGUCUACUUUGUCC
rnacentral:lncRNA from 1 species